UACAAAGGGGGCUAGCGUUGCUCGGAAUCACUGGGCGUAAAGGGUGCGUAGGCGGGUUUUUAAGUCAGGGGUGAAAUCCUGGAGCUCAACUCCAGAACUGCCUUUGAUACUGAAGAUCUUGAGUCCGGGAGAGGUGAGUGGAACUGCGAGUGUAGAGGUGAAAUUCGUAGAUGUUCGCAAGAACACCAGUGGCGAAGGCGGCUCACUGGCCCGGUACUGACGCUGAGGCACGAAAGCGUGGGGAGCAAACAGG
rnacentral:rRNA from 1 species